rnacentral:lncRNA from 1 species
GCCGAUUUUUUCAAACCAUACUACAGAUAAUUUGGACUUUAUUUAUUAAUUUUUGUGUUUUAAUUACCACAUAUUAAAGGUUCAUGUAAUCUUUUACUUGUUCUUUUUUUUUAGCAUAAUGACACUUUAAACAAAUGUUUACAUAUCCCAUUACUUCACAGAAUCUCAUAGACCUGCAUUAUUAUUAAUACUAUAUUGUAUGGUCGAACCUAUGUUUAAAAAUAAUCAUACUGACAUAAUCAAAGAGCACACUAUCUUCAGCAGUGUUCAGAUAUGUGAUUUGUACAGUUGUACCAUAGACUGUACGUACAGCUGGUCCUGGAUCAGUACGUUCCCUCGUGAUCCCGGAACCGGAAACACGUUUGUUGUUACGGUAAAAUUAUCUUUUUAUUAACAAAAAAUCCAUUUUUAGCCUAUUUGUAUUUUUUUUAAAACUAUACCAACAUAUAACUGAAAAUAAAACCUGAUCAAUUGAAAAUGUGCAUUUUACUGUGGGUAUAUAAAAGCCGUCGGGACCACGUGACUUCCUUUUCGGACUAAGCUGAAAUCAUGGACGCCAGCCGCGUGCAGCCCAUCAAACUCGCUAGAGUUACUAAAGUGCUGGGAAGAACCGGCUCCCAGGGACAGUGUACCAGAGGCCAGGAGGCUUCGCUAGGUCAGUAAACAUCAUUCACAGCUGUAAAUAUAUCAUCAAUUUAUACCUAAUGUUUUAGAUGGGGAAAGAUAAUGCUUAGAAAUAAAGCAAUGGGUUUUAAUGUAAAAAGGAUUUUUAUGCAUAAGAAGCAAUUAAGUUUUAAUACUCAGUAAAUCUGACUGAAGAGUGUCUAAAAAGUUCUCUCUCCCAGUUUUCAAAUUAUGCUAAAUGUCUGUUGUGUGCUAGACUCUAAUCGUAUUCCAAUAUCAAUAUCAGUCACAAUAAAUUCCCACAGUGACUUGAAGACCCUUUUCCAGUCGGUAUUGUGGAUGGAUAUGGAUGUGCUUGAUGUGAUUUAUAACCAUUUGUCUGUUUCUACCAGCAGUGCACGUGAAGACCGGCAGUGGCCGAAGCAGUACUUGUGGAGAGCAUCAACAUCAGCUCUACAGUAAAAUAAAGUGUCUUUGUGAAUAAGUUGGUCUCCUCCUCAAUUUGUUUUUAUUAUGAAUAAUGUUUAAUGUUAUCCUGAGUUUUACAAUUGCUAUGAAGUACUAAUAGCACGUUUCUCCAGUUUAAUGUGAGAUACAGUCAGGUCCAAACCAGAUCAAAGCAAUUACAUUUUGUGUACUCUAGAAUUUAGAUGUCAAGUGAUUUGAGUGUGUAUAGAGUGAGAUUUCAAACUAUGUAUCUGAUUCUGAAUCCCAACGAAAUAUCAACUGUAUUGGGCUUUAAACAGGGUAUCUGCAGGCCCUUAAAAAUUCUUAAAAUGUCUUAAAUUCAGAUUUGAUGGCUCUUAAAUAUUUUUGAUCACAUUACUGCUAAAAUAUCUGAAGUCUGAUGGACCUAUUGACUGUUUACAAUCAUUGGAAAGACCCCCGCGGUAGUUACUGCAUCAUCAGCGAGAAUGGCAGUAGCAGAAUACAGGUCGAACUACCUUCUUAAUUUACUCAAUAAUAGUAAUAAUAAUAUAGGUCGAGCUACAGCUGAUUAGCCUUGUAGCUAGUUUAAAUUUUUAUUUUAAUUUUUUUACCUUCCCGUCCGGAAAAAUAGCCUAAUUAAAACAUAAGUGACAAAAAAAUAACCAGCGAAGCAUCGAAAUGCGAGAAUGAUUCUUCUAAUUUUAUCAGCCUACUGUAAAUUCAGUGUAAACCGUGAUUGAUAAUGGAUAGUGUAUUUCAGAAUAAGUUGUUUACACCACCAAAAAUCUCGUGGUGCUUUUGUGGGGAUUUUGCAUGCAAUAUUGUCUGCUGAUAUGAAAAGUUUACAGUAUAUCUUAGUAAGAAAUAUAAUUUAUUACAGCGAUUAUUUAUAUUGUAGUAAAACUGACUUAAAAUGACUAAUUGCAUUAUAUUACAAGUGAGAAUAUAGAUGCUUGUUUUCCCAAAGGAAGCUGUGAGUAAAAAAAAAAAAAAAUGUAUCUGCCUUUUUUACUGACUCCUUUUUACAGUAAUAGUAUGAUGUGUUUGGGUGUAGCUGCAUGAAGUUUAAGAAUGAACAACGACUCAAACAUUUUAGUGUGUAUCAUCAGAAACUUCAAGUUUUACUACGUUUCUGUUGAUGGAUGGUCGCUGUUCAGUGGAUGUCCAUUAGAGGGCACUAUUAGUUGUAAGUAUGGACUGUUACUCAGUUUAGUUGGUGUGUAAAUCGAGCUGUCAAACUGUGAUCCCGCUAUAAGCACAUUUGCAGGUGUUUAGGUCAGAGGCUCAUGGUUUAUUUUGAUUACAGUUUUUGUCCACCCUGCUGUCUUAUAAAAUGAAACACUUGUGUGUAUGUGGGGAGGUGGGUGUUUUGGGCACUCUGGAGCAUCUGUGCUCACUGUCUUCACCUUUUACCUUCAAUGGCGCAACAUAUUUGAAUGUAAAUCCCAACAGCUGGUGUCUUUUAGUCAAUUAAACAUAUCAGUUUUCAUUUCAAAAGUCUCUUUGUAAAUAUUAAAAUGAAUUAGUAAAUAGAACACACGCUUUAUACUUUUUUAAAAUCUUUUUUUCUCUCUCUCUUUAAUUGCGCGUAUUGGGUUUAUCCAUGACGUACAAAUUAAGGGCGAAUCAAAUACAAUCCUUUGCUAAUAUUUGCACAAAGGCAAUAGCUGUUUAAGCCAAGCGUAGAAG